UAAUAGCCGAGUGUGUCCGAUAAUUGACGAGUUCAACCGAAGAGCCGAACCCGGCCGAGAUUUACCCAACUGAGAUGAGCUUGAUCGAAAGGAACAACCGAGACGAGUUUAGCCGACUUUAGCCGAGUUUAUUUGAGCAUGUCCGAACGUAGCCGUGUUCAGCUGUACCAAGCCGAGCUCGGCCGAACUGAAAAACUUCUAUUUCGAAUGUGUAAAGUGACAAAGACUCUGUUGCAUUUCAGCACACGAGAAAGAACAGCAGCAAAAGCUCCACGUGAAGUUAAUUUAUCCCCUUGGAAUGGGCCAGCAUCACAAAAGGCAGAGACGGGCACUGCCGCCAUCCCUUCUUCCCUCCCGCUGCAGCUCUGGCCGACAGCGCCGCCGUGGACCCGGAGCGGAAGGUCUCCAAGCUCCCCGGCGAGUGCGGGUGGAUAACCCAUAAACAAGCCCCUGAACUCUGCAUCGAUGUGUCAAACACUUCCACAGAAAGGCAAGUCAGCAGUGAUUCUAGAGGAAAAAUUAGAGGUGAUGGCUUAUGAUCCAUGGGGAAUUACACUGGGAAUUAUGAAACUCAAACACAUGGAAUUGUGGAGGUGGAAUUCCAUUUUCAGCCUUGGGCACCUGGAGGAGGAGAGGUGUCCUCAUCCAUAGUGAGGAAAGCCUGGUGCCCCAGUGUGUCAGGUGCAGGGAAUGAGCAACAAGUUCCUUCUGCCCCUGCCCUCGCUCUUGGGGUGGCAACAGCACAAACUGAGCUGUGAGGAUGAUGAGGGCUCAGGGAAGCCCCAGGUGUGAGCAGCGAUGAUGAGGAGGGAGCGGGUCCUGCCCGGGGAUGUUUUAGGGGGAGGGUUUCCCUCAGCUCACUUAGGUAUGGAGCAGCUGGAGGAGAGGGGUUUAUGGUGGGCUCCCAGAGGUGUCUCAUGGAACGAUGUUGGGAGCAUCUCGUAGGGUCUGGGGGAUCACCUGGAUGCACUUGGAUGCAGAGCAUUGCUUAAAGGAGGUGUCGAGGGACAAACCUUUGUGCCAAGAAACAGCAGAUGAGCCAGCAUGGAUUUGCAAGGGGGGACUUUUCUUCUUCAGGCCAAGCUGAGCUGAAGCGAACCGAGUAUAUAACUGUAAGUAUAAAGAUGUUAAAAAUAGAUAUUAAAAAAUAUUGAAGAUAAAGGGCCUGCUUGGUUUUUAUUUAGUUAGAGACAGGGUUUUUAAAUAAAUAAGAAAAAUAAAAAUAAAUAAAAUAUAUA
rnacentral:lncRNA from 1 species